rnacentral:rRNA from 1 species
CGCACCUUGCGCUCCUUGGUAUUCCGAGGAGCAUGCCUGUUUGAGUGUCAUGGAAUUCUCAACUCCAUUCGCUUUUGUGAAUGGAGCUUGGACUUGGAGGUUAUUGCCGGACUUUAUUGUUUCGGCUCCUCUUGAAUGCAUUAGCUCGAGCCUUUGUGGAUCAGCUUCGGUGUGAUAAUUGUUUACGCCGUUCUGUGAAGCAUACAUAAUGGGUUUCGGCUUCCAAUCGUCCUUUGCGGGACAAUACACUAUGACCUUUGACCUCAAAUCAGGUAGGGUUACCCGCUGAACUUAAGCAUAUCAAUAAGCGGAGGAAAAGAAACUAACAAGGAUUCCCCUAGUAACUGCGAGUGAAGCGGGAAAAGCUCAAAUUUAAAAUCUGGCGGUCUAUGGCCGUCCGAGUUGUAGUCUGGAGAAGUGCUUUCCGCGCUGGACCGUGUACAAGUCUCUUGGAACAGAGCGUCAUAGAGGGUGAGAAUCCCGUCUUUGACACGGACUACCAGUGCUUUGUGAUGCGCUCUCAAAGAGUCGAGUUGUUUGGGAAUGCAGCUCAAAAUGGGUGGUAAAUUCCAUCUAAAGCUAAAUAUUGGCGAGAGACCGAUAGCGAACAAGUACCGUGAGGGAAAGAUGAAAAGCACUUUGGAAAGAGAGUUAAACAGUACGUGAAAUUGCUGAAAGGGAAACGCUUGAAGUCAGUCGCGUUGGCCAGGACUCAGCCUUGCUUUUGCUUGGUGCAUUUUCUGGUUGACGGGCCAGCAUCGAUUUUGAUCGCCGGAAAAAGGCUGGGGGAAUGUGGCACCUUCGGGUGUGUUAUAGCCUUCAGUCACAUACGGCGGUUGGGAUCGAGGACCGCAGCACGCC